AGAUGUUCUAAAACAGAAUGAGCAAGAAGUGGCAUGCAUUUUAAAAAAAAGGCCAUCCACAACUUUCAUUGUACAUGUUCUAUCUAGCCAAUCAUUAAAUUAUAGAUGUUUUCAUCACUAAAUUUGUACAGUGUUGAAAUGGGAUUCUAACACCCAUUUCCAUUUCCUUAAAAAAAAAUAAUAAUCACUGAUUCUCACCCCUGUAGGUGAGUGGUUACUAGCUUUGAUCUGGAUUCUCAGGAGAUUAUAUUGGCUAAGUCAGUCUCUCAGCCUCAACAAAUGAACAUAGAAAGCCGCCUUAUUCAAGAGUCAGAUGAUUCCAGUACUGGCAGUUCUGCCUUGAGGUGAUUCCAACUAAGUGUUCAGAGUGGAAUUUCCAUGCUUUGUUUGCUCGUUUUAAGGGCGUACACAUGAUGCUAUCAUUCAAUCAUCCUGUAUUUUCCCUAUGUUUUUUCUGUUUUUUUCUCAAACUGCAGAAAGUCUGCCUUUUUAAAAAGCGAACUGGAAGAGUAGCAGAAGCACCACAGGUAUAGAUACUUUUUAGCACCACACUCCCAACUUUUUUUAUAUGGGUAUUUACAUGGUCAAUGACUUUAUGGGGAAAUGAACAAAUUAAUCAUAACAUUUGCGGUGGAUGACAUUUUUUAAAACCUUUGUUUUUUAAAACAAUGUUUUGGUUACCACUCAAAAGCUUUUCCAUCUCUUAUUUUCUGAAAAUGAAAGAACUGUGCACCUUCUCUUUCAUGAAAAAGCUGGAAAUCUUUAAGGAUUUUUUUAAAAAGGCUCGUAAAAUGCCACCCACCACACGGGUUAUAGUGAAUAUACGCUGAGCUGCAGAUGACCCUUUUCACAGCUGCAACUGUCUCUCCACUUGAGUGGCCAGAACAUAAUGUGAUGCACAAUACUCCCAAUAGUGUGGAAAGUCAGCUGUGAUUCUGCUCAUAGCUUACAAUAGAAGAACAAUGAUUGGGUAGCACUUUGGGCCACUUGUCUAAAAGCAGCCUCUCUAAGGUCUCAGGCAGAAGUAUUUCUCCCCCCAGCACCAGCUACCAGAAACCAUUUUAACUAGAAAUUCCAAGGCAAAACUAUUGGAAACUGUGUUCUACCAUAGGUUUUGAGUAAUGGUCCCUGCUCAACUCAAAAGGAAUGUGGUAUUAACAGCACUUCACUCAAAGGGUUAUUGUGAUACUUUAAAUAUUUUCACACCUAUCUAUUAUCUCAUUCAAUUUUUCUUUGGAAGACAUUCUAUGCAGCCAAAAAACCCAAAGAGUCUUGUGGCACCUUGAAGAGGUGUGUUCAUAUAUGAUAUGAAAUGUAAAACAUAGGUUUGAUUUCUGAUUUAUAACUGGAGUCAGCUAAUUUUUUGCCUUUUAUUUUUAGAUCAGGCAUCCUGAUGUCUGGGCCAAUUAUCCAACCUGAUCAGGGAUGAUGAGAGUUGUUGUUCAUAACAUGGAGUUGGGAAAGGCACUUUUAUAUCAACUGUUUCUGGGUACUGUAUAUGCCACCUGAAUUGUAUCACAAUUCAUGCAUCUGAUAAAAUGGACUUCAGCCCAUGAAAGCAUGUGCUACAAUGAAUUUAUUCUUCUUUAAUGUGUCAAAACACUCUUUGUUACUUGGUAAGUUAGCCCUCUUUAUAAAAUUAUUACUUUCCUAUUAAACAUGCUUUACAUCAUUGUUCAGCUGUAUACUGAAGCUGGCUAUUUAUUAAAUGAAUUAAUGAAUAGAUACUGUAUGCACUGGUCACCUAUGGGGGAGAAAUCAUUAUACUGUAAUCAAGUGCAAAAUUCAUGUAACUUACCAUUGUUUAGUACAGUCUUGCAGAUAAACAAUAUACUAGCCUUGCUAACUUGCACAAACUUUGUAACUGGGUGUGAUCCAGACCCAGAUCCAGCAUAGUAUACAACAGUCUUUCUCAACCGUGGAUCCCAAGAGGUUCCUAAAUUACAACACCUAUCAUCCAUGCUGGCUAGGAAUGAUGGGAGUUGCAGUCCAACAACAUCUAGGGAACCCAAGGUUGAAAAAGGCUGGAAUAGCAGUUAGACCAGGCGUCCCCAAACUUUGGCCCUCCAGAUGUUUUGGACUACAAUUCCCAUCUUCCCCGGCCACUGGUCCUGUUAGCUAAGGAUCAUGGGAGUUGUAGGCCAAAACAUCUGGAAGGCCGCAGUUUGGGAAUGCCUGAGUUAGACUGUUGAACAAGGAUAAGAGAGACCAGGAUUAAAAUCCCCACUCCAGCCAUUAGGUUCACUGGAUAUACUUGGGCCAGUCACUCUCUCUCAGUCUAGCCUACCUCACAAGGUUGUUGCCAAGGUUAAAUGAGACAGUCCUUGAAGGAAAGGCGGGAUAGGAAUGGAAAUAAUAAACACAAUUUUUUAAAAAAGCCCUGUUAAUCAUCUCAGGUGACUGACUAACAGCAAGUCUGGUUUAUUGGAAUUCAGACCUAGACCAAGAUUAUGGACUUGAUGAGGCACAUCAGUGCCGCCUAAGUCAAGGUUGCAAUGUACUUCCAGAAAGAGCAGCCUACAUAGUUACAGCCAUACACAAAACACAAAAGGUGACAUGUAGUUUCAGUGAUGAAAAGCCACAAAGUCAUUGUUCUUAAUCCAAAGGAUAGCUACUACAGCAACUACAUGGAAAUUCCCCCCUCUUUUGUUAUUACCUAAUUCUGCCAUGGACACAGUAGGAGAAGUCUCUCCAUUUGUAAAAGAGCAAUAAGGAAAGAAGCCCGAUGCAGGUGUGUAGUCGCAUAUCGGUUCUGGUUUGAUUCCAUUAAUAUCAAGCCCCGACUGAUCUGGAGAAGGCUGUAUGUCUAAGUAGAAGCUGCUAACGGCAGAGUCUGCUUUGCUACCUUCAGGGGUAUGCCCAUCAAUGUAAUUACUGAGGUCAUCGUGCAGUUCUGUGAGCCCAUUGGGAGUGAUAUUGUAUGUUGGCGUCAAUGGCUCUGCCUCUCCGGGUUGCUGCUGGUGAUCUCGCUGUUGUUGCUGCAUCCGGUGUUUCUGCACUUCUGCAUACAAGCUGUCCCUCUGCUUUUUUGACAUUCGACCAAACUUUACAGCUGAAAUAUAUCCAUAAGCAAUAUAUUUUAUCACCACCAGCUGCAGCAGUAAAAUGCUAUGUUAGGACACAUCAUAUGUAAGUCUAGGGUAGCUACUAAGCAGUUCACAACAUCACCACAACACACUUUUGCUUGAUCAUACAGGUGCAGUCAUAUAUUAGGUGAGAAGGUAGGUAUUAUCCUAUGGGGUCAGCCUCUUGAAAAGGCAAGUCAUGUGUAAUAUAGUUAGGGCAUGUACGAGCAAUAGAAUAAUUUGAGGAGAUGGCUUUUAGGCAAACAGUCAUCAAAAGGGAAAUUUUAAGAAGAAAAAUAAUGAACAUGAUUAGAUUUCAAUCAUAGGGGCAAAUAUAUUUAAUUUGCAUAAUAGUCUGUUCCAUAUUUGGGCUUCCUUGGUGCAAAAUGCAGAGUUUCUUUUACUUAAGAGAAGUUAUAACUUUGAUGUCGGCCUGUCAUCCAAGAGAGGAGUAUUUAAUCCUUACUACGGUGACACUGACAUCUAUUAGCAGCAGGUUUUCAUAGUCUCUGUACCAGUAAUGGGGGAGGAAGAAGGUGGAGGAAAUAUAAAGAUUGGUUGGAGGAAGAAAAAUACAGGACACCCAUAAUGUUGUAUGAAUGGAAUAAGGAAUGUGAAAGAAAAUUAAAGUAGAGCUGGCCUAGUGACACCAGUAAGAAAGGCAGGCAUUUACUCGGUGUGUAGUGUGACUGUGUAAGCAGCAGCAAAACAAAACCCUGGAAGCCACUAGCUGCAUCAGUCCACAGUAAAUUCAGUGACUUAUGAGGCACAGUAUAUUUCAAGACAAAUAUUUUAAGAAUGGGAUGAGCAAGCAGAAAGCUAAGGAGUGUCACACAUACAAGACAGCUGACCUGAACUAGCAAAGCUCACCAUCUCGAGACAUCCCCACAGCAAGGCAUUUCUGUAAACGACAGUGUUGGCAACGGUUUCUACUGGUUCGAUCAAUUAAACAGUUCUUCUGUCGGGGACAGGAAUAUGUGGCGUUACUUUGCUGA